GACGAACGCUGGCGGCGUGCUUAACACAUGCAAGUCGAACGGAAAGGCCCUGCUUUUGUGGGGUGCUCGAGUGGCGAACGGGUGAGUAACACGUGAGUAACCUGCCCUUGACUUUGGGGUAACUUCAGGAAACUGGGGCUAAUACCGGAUAGGAGCUCCUGCUGCAUGGUGGGGGUUGGAAAGUUUCGGCGGUUGGGGAUGGACUCGCGGCCUAUCAGCUUGUUGGUGGGGUAGUGGCUUACCAAGGCUUUGACGGGUAGCCGGCCUGAGAGGGUGACCGGCCACAUUGGGACUGAGAUACGGCCCAGACUCCUACGGGAGGCAGCAGUGGGGAAUAUUGCACAAUGGGCGGAAGCCUGAUGCAGCAACGCCGCGUGCGGGAUGACGGCCUUCGGGUUGUAAACCGCUUUCGCCUGUGACGAAGCGUGAGUGACGGUAAUGGGUAAAGAAGCACCGGCUAACUACGUG
rnacentral:rRNA from 1 species